CCUACGGGAGGCAGCAGUGGGGAAUAUUGGACAAUGGGCGAAAGCCUGAUCCAGCAAUUCCGCGUGUGUGAAGAAGGCCUUCGGGUUGUAAAGCACUUUAGUGGGGGAAGAAACAGCUUGGCCACACCAAGCCUUGACGGUACCCCAAGAAUAAGCACCGGCUAACUCUGUGCCAGCAGCCGCGGUAAUACAGAGGGUGCAAGCGUUAAUCGGAUUUACUGGGCGUAAAGGGUGCGUAGGUGGCUAUUUAAGUCGGAUGUGAAAGCCCGGGGCUCAACCUCGGAAUUGCAUUCGAUACUGAGUGGCUAGAGUUCGGUAGAGGGCGGCGGAAUUUCCGGUGUAGCGGUGAAAUGCGUAGAUAUCGGAAGGAACAUCAAUGGCGAAGGCAGCCGCCUGGGCCUGGACUGACACUGAGGCACGAAAGCGUGGGUAGCAAACAGGAUUAGAUACCCUGGUAGUCCACGCCGUAAACGAUGAGAACUUGACGUUGGUUCGUUUUACGAAUCGGUGUCGCAGCUAACGCGAUAAGUUCUCCGCCUGGGGAGUCGGCCGCAAGGUUGAAACUUAAAGGAAUUGACGGNUUGAGAGUUGCGAGCGCGACGAGGGAGAGG
rnacentral:rRNA from 1 species